AUGUGUGGUCUGCAGCUGCCGCUCCUCCCUGUUGCGCUUUGCUGCGCAAAGGACCUCGAUCUCGUCCACUGCAUCGGGGUUAUUGGGCAUGUUGUUUUCCCCACGGACAGCGACCUCGAAGUCUGCGACAUCGGCGGUUGGGGGGUGCACCCCUCCUCGCCAUUCUCCAUCGACAGCCCUCCACUCUUCUCUGUGUGGUGUGGCAAAGUGGCUUUGUUACCUAUUCCAUUAGGAACCGCAGAUUUUUUAGUCCAUCACAUUCAUGCAUUUACCAUACAUGUGACUGUAUUAAUACUUUUGAAAGGUGUUUUAUUUGCUCGGAGUUCCCGUUUGAUACCCGAUAAAGCAAAUCUAGGUUUUCGCUUUCCUUGCGAUGGGCCUGGAUCGGCGGUUGGGGGGGCGCACCCCUCCUCGCCAUUCUCCAUCGACAGCCCUCCACUCUUCUCUGUGUGGUGCAGACCAACAGUCGUCCGGCGGGGAGAAGGUAUGGUGUCACCGAUAGGAGCGCACCACGUAGCACCACUGCAUUCCGCCGCCGGCCGCCGCGAGGGCACCUCUGCUGGUCGCUCUUGCGACCACUUCCAGGUGGCCAUACACAUGCACUCCUUUUGUUCAGAUGGUGUUCAUGGGAUCCAGGUGGCUGUACAUGUGCACGUCCGACGUGGGGAUGGUGUCCACUUUAUGUUCAGGGGUCCCAAAUAA
rnacentral:rRNA from 1 species